CGGCGUUUGGUGGAAAUGAAAAGUCCCGAACAGCAGCUUCGUUGUAGGAAGUUGACGGUGCGUCACUAUUUUUCAACCAUGUAUGUUUGCACGUUGAAGGUUUUCCCACCAGAAAUUUGUCCUCCAACACUUGCCCUUGUGAAGGAAACGCCAAAACUUGUCAUUCGACUUCUGAUGUGGGCAAAAAACAAUGUCGAUGUGGCAGCCAUCCUCCGCAAAUUUGUUCCGCCAACUAACGAAGCAUCAUCAUCAUCCAAACA